rnacentral:rRNA from 1 species
CCUACGGGGGGCAGCAGUGGGGAAUAUUGGGCAAUGGGCGCAAGCCUGACCCAGCAACGCCGCGUGAAGGAAGAAGGCUUUCGGGUUGUAAACUUCUUUUAAGAGGGAAGAGCAGAAGACGGUACCUCUUGAAUAAGCCACGGCUAACUACGUGCCAGCAGCCGCGGUAAUACGUAGGUGGCAAGCGUUGUCCGGCUUUACUGGGUGUAAAGGGCGCGUAGCCGGGCUGACAAGUCAGAUGUGAAAUCCGGGGGCUCAACCCCCGAACUGCAUUUGAAACUGUUGGUCUUGAGUAUCGGAGAGGCAGGCGGAAUUGCUAGUGGAGCGGUGAAAUGCGUAGAUAUUAGGAGGAACAGCAGUGGCGAAGGCGGCCUGCUGGACGACAACUGACGGUGAGGCGCGAAAGCGUGGGGAGCAAACAGGAUUAGAUACCCGAGUAGUC